ACGAACGCUGGCGGCAUGCCUAAUACAUGCAAGUCGAGCGGACUUGAAGAGAAGCUUGCUUCUCUGAUGGUUAGCGGCGGACGGGUGAGUAACACGUAGGCAACCUGCCCUCAAGUUUGGGACAACUACCGGAAACGGUAGCUAAUACCGAAUAGUUGUUUUCUUCUCCUGAAGAGAACUGGAAAGACGGAGCAAUCUGUCACUUGGGGAUGGGCCUGCGGCGCAUUAGCUAGUUGGUGGGGUAACGGCUCACCAAGGCGACGAUGCGUAGCCG
rnacentral:rRNA from 4 species